UGGGGGAUAUUGCACAAUGGGCGAAAGCCUGAUGCAGCGACGCCGCGUGGGGGAUGAAGGCCUUCGGGUUGUAAACUUCUUUUGCUCUGAACAAGGCGCACCAUGGGGUGUGUUGAGUGUAGGGGUUGAUUAGCGCCGGCUAACUACGUGCCAGCAGCCGCGGUAAUACGUAGGGCGCGAGCGUUGUCCGGAAUUAUUGGGCGUAAAGGGCUUGUAGGUGGCUGGUUGCGUCUGUCGUGAAAGCUCAUGGCUUAACUGUGGGUUUGCGGUGGGUACGGGCUGGCUUGAGUGCAGUAGGGGAGGCUGGAAUUCCUGGUGUAGCGGUGGAAUGCGCAGAUAUCAGGAGGAAUACCGGUGGCGAAGGCGGGUCUCUGGGCUGUUACUGACACUGAGGAGCGAAAGCAUGGGUAGCGAACAGG
rnacentral:rRNA from 1 species